GCUCUCAGUGGUCUGUGAAGGUAACAGAAGGGAGUGAAAUAUCACUGCAUGCUUGUGCUGCUGGAGAGUGAGAAUUUUCACUACGCCUGUUUUGUGCAAACAUCCAACUUCUUGCACUCGAAUGCUUGCACAAACAGACUUGGCUUUGUUUUUAUCAACUGUUCUUAAAUGAAAGUUAUUUAUGCAGAGUAUAAACUGUUAUGCAUUAUCAUUCUAGCCAGUCAAACAGUCCCCCUCUUUUUAAGUAAUGUUGAGAGAAAGUGUUUCUGUUUUCCUAUUUUGACUGCACUACUUGUCAUUAGGUUCUAGAAUUUUUCCCAAAAGGCACCCUAUUCCCUUUAUGGUGUACUACUUUUGACCAGAGCCCUAUCGGCUUUGGUCAGAAGGAGUGCACUAUAAAGGGAAUAGGGUUCCAUUUGGGAUGCAUUUUGGGACACAACCUUGUGUAUGUCUGUCUGCUGAGUCUUCUAAAUAAAGUGAGCCUCAAGUCCCGAUUCUCUAACCUGUACCUAAAACCCUACUGACCAGUCAUAUGCAAUUAAUAAAUAUGUAUGACAUCAAUUUCCUGUGCAUGUUGGUGUUGAGGGAUUUUUGCCCUCAGUUCAAAUCUUUUGUUUCCCCUGUCUCAAGGACAAGGUAAGAUGGACAAAGUCCUUUGAGCUUGACACAAUUGUACUGUUUAUUGAAAACAGAGGAAUACUUCUGCCAUUGUUAUGUAAUAGGAUGCUGGAAUACCUGUCAUUCUUAUGUAAUAUCGGAAAUGCAUAUUGAGUUAGUUUUUUUCAGUGAUAUAGCUCUACAUGUCACUGACUAAAUGGAACAAUAUAUCACUAUACACAAGUGCAUUCAGCCACUCAUAGGCUCUCACAUAACACAAUCAAAUACUCUGAGAACGAUGAAUGAAGCAUAAAGUACAGUAUGUUUACAUACAGGCCUUUGGUACAAUAUUGGUUUAAAUAACUAGCUGGUCAAAGUUUGCUGGUUGAAAUUCUUCUGUUGAUGGAUCUGCCUUGCGGUAAAUUACAGCACCAGUCCAAUGAACAAGAGACAUCCUGGCUCGUUUGCUGACAUCAUGAAAGCGCAUGAGGAAAUCAUCAUUUCCAAUCAAGUAAAUCAACGGAUUGAUUGCGCUAUUCAGGCAAGCUAGGCCGCGGCUGAUUUGAUGAACAACAUAGAUGUCAUCGAAGCUUGCUUUGCAGGUGCCUUCCAUUUUCAAAAUCCUUAUCUUCAAAUUGAGAUUUCGCAAAACAUGGUAAGGGAUAAAGCAAAUUGAGAAUAACACAGUCAAGAUGAUGACUAGUUUUAGACACCUCUGUUUCAAUAAAGUAUUGACGUUGGCUUUGGUGGCAAGGACCACUACUAUAUGUCCAUAGCAAGCAACAAUGACGAGCAAUGGUAUAACGAAUCCGGUAACGGUCCAGCCAAUGCUAUACGGCAGGUAAUCCUUGAUAAGGUGGUCGGCUGUUGAGUCAUAGCACGCAUCUGAGGAAUUUGGCGCUGUCUUGUCAAAGAACAUAUCGGGAAGUAUCUGAAUAAAAACCAAAAUCCAGACAAGAAAACUUAUUGCCACAGAGUGGCGAGUGGUGAUUCUUCCCAUCACGUGCAUUGGGUGCACAAUACCAAGGUAUCGAUAAAUACUGAUGCAUGUCAGGAACCCGAUACUGCCGUAGAGAUUCAAAUUGAAACAGAAUCUGGUGAUCUUGCAGAAUGUUUGUCCAAAUAUCCAUGUACUGUUUAGCGCGUAAUAGACAACCAAAAAUGGUAAUGUAAAUAGGUAUAGCAAGUCCGCUAUUCCAAGGUUGAGAAUAAAUAUGUUAAUACUUCCAAUUUUCUUCCAGCGUGUAAAAACAGUUUUUAACCCACAGAAGUUUGCAAAAGUUCCGACGACAAACACCAGCACGAACACAGCUGGUAAAAAUCUGUGCGUAAAAAACUGGUUAAUAUUUGCACAUGUGGUCGUGUUGAGAACGUGCACAUCGUGGUCCUCUGACAUUUUCAUCUUCGUUCUUUUCAGAGUGAAGUCAAGACACAAGCUAUUUUUCGAAUUGCAGAAGAAUAUCAAUCGAUGACGCCCAGAAGUUAAUGAAAUCAAACUUGGACAUGGACACACUUCUGAAAUCGUAGCCGUCCACAAACAUGCUGCGCAUGACUACCUAAUGUGAAACUAAAAGUGUAUACACUUUUUUUUAUUUUUAUAUAAGGAUUAUUCCAUUAGUUUACAGGAGGGGCUGAGUCACUGGCUUACUGGUGCUCUUCCAUGCCAUCCCUGGGAGGGGUGCGUCACUUGAGUGGGUUGAGUCAUUGACGUGAUCUCCUGUCUGGGUUGGCGCCCCCCAUUGGGUUGUGCCGUGGCGGCCUUGUCUCAGCCUUGUCUCAGGAUGGUAAGUUGGUGGUUGAAGAUAUCCCUAUAGUGGUGUGGGGGCUGUGCUUUGGCAAAGUGGGUGGGGUUAUAUCCUGCCUGUUUGGCCCUGUCCGGGGGUAUUGUCGGGGGGCUAGGGCCAGUCUGUUAUAUCUGGAGUAUUUCUCCUGUCUUAUCCUGUCUUAUCCUAUCCUGUGUGAAUUUAAGUAUGCUCUCUCUAACUCUCUCUCUCUUUCUCUCUUUCUUUCUUUCUUUCUUUCUCUCACUCGGAGGACCUGAGCCCUAGGACCAUGCCUCAGGACUAUCUGGCCUGAUGACUCCUUGCUGUCCCCAGUCCACCUGGCCGUGCUGCUGCUCCAGUUUCAACUGUUCUGCCUGCGGCUAUGGAAUCCUGACCUUUUCACCGGACGUGCUACCUGUCCCAGACCUGCUGUUUACAACUCUCUAGAGACAGCAGGAGCGGUAGAGAUACUCUCAAUGAUCGGCUAUGAAAAGCCAACUGACAUUUACUCCUGAGGUGCUGACCUGUUGCACCCUCGGCAUCCACUGUUAUUAUUAUUAUUUGACCCUGCUGGUCACCUAUGAACAUUUGAACAUCUUGGCCAUGUUCUGUUAAUCUCCCCCCGGCACAGCCAGAAGAGGACUGGCCACAACUCGUAGCCUGGUUAUUCUCUAGGUUUCUUCCUAGGUUCUGGCCUUUCUAGGGAGUUUUUCCUAGCCACCGUGCUUCUACACCUGCAUUGCUUGCUGUUUGGGGUUUAGGCUGGGUUUCUGUACAGCACUUUGAGAUAUCAGCUGAUGUAAGAAGGGCUUUAUAAAUAAAUGUGAUUGAUUGAUAAUGACAAAGCAAAAACAGGUUUUUAGACAUUUUUGCAAAUUUAUAAAAAAUCUAAAACAGAAAUACCUUAUUUAAAUAAGUAUUCAGACCCUUUGCUAUGAGACUUGAAAUUGAACUCAGCUGCAUCUCUGAUGUUGCACCUAUCCUGGGAUUGUGUAUGACUUAGAUGCUCACUCUCCUCUGUGAGCUCGUCUAGGCGUGUGAUCAAGGACAUGGGUUUUACUUGAGAUAGGGGUAUCUGGAGUUGACAGUUGAUUUAUGCCAUAGAAUGAGUUGGUGUUUAUGUACUAUGAAGUACCAGGGACGUGAUCUGAGCCUUGUCUUAGGGGCCAAACUCUGUACAAUAAGAACAGUCUUCAUAGCAAAUGCUAUCUGGCUGGGGGAUACUCCUUUCUCAAUUAUCAAGUCUCACCUUCGGACCCAUUCCACACAUCUGUUGUUUGCUAUGUAGACUAAGGGGGUGUAUCUUUGCUAUAAAAAGGUCUUUGUAUCCUUUGUGUCGGGGCUCUCAACGAAUCAUCUGAGGGUGGUUCGUCGACCAGCCAUCGCUAUUGCAGAGCUCUCACUAAUAAAGAUUCAGUUUAAGUAUAACUCUGACUUGUGUGAUAAGUUUGUCUCUCCUCAUUGAUAACACAGAAAUUAACCACUACGGUGGCCUCCAUCAUUCUUAAAUGGAAGAAGUUUGGAACCACCAAGAGGCAAACUAGAACUGGCCGCCUGGCCAAAUUGAGCAAUCAGGGCAGAAGGGACUUGGUCAGGGAGGUGACCAAGAACCUGAUGGUCACUCUGACAGAGCUCCAGAGUUUGUCUGUGGAGAUGGGAGAACAUUCCAGAAGGACAACCAUCUCUGCAGCACUCCACCAAGCGUGCUGGUGGCAGCAUCAUGCUGUGGGGAUGUUUUUA
rnacentral:lncRNA from 1 species